GAGGCCUGUUGUAGAAAUGACUCUGAGUGCUCAGGUAGAAACGCAUGAAGAACCAGUGCGUCUAAUAUUUGGAAACUAAUCUGUGUUUGAGCGUCCUGGAUGAAACACAGAUCAUGUUGCAGAGCGAGGACGUCGUCUUUCUUCCCGAGUGUGUAACUACAGGACGUGUGCAGAAGGUUUAAUCGUCCUCCUGACAGUUAUUGAUGAACGAGUCCUUCAGGGAGGCUCCAAGAUCACUGUGGGUUUACCAGCUGCUGCUAAACUGAGAGGGAGACGAUAAAGUGAGCUCAACCUUAAACAUGUGGAGAGAACGUUUGACCAACAGUCCUGGGACGACUACAGAACAAUGGAGCAGCUCACAGGCACAACAGACUACAGUGCAAUCAAGGCACCAGUUAAACAUCCAUGUGACCGGCUUACAGCCAAUGAACAACCAGUACGGUCCCCAUUGUCCCCACCAACAUCACUGUACUGGAAAGACUGUGCUGCCGUGGUCAGAGAUGAACUGAUACUAAAAUGUAAGGCAGCUGAUGUGUGUGGCAUUAGCAGCACAAAUGCAUCAUGGCUGCAACGCUGCAGUGUGUUUAAACAUUUGAACAUUUCUGUGGCUUCAAACCAGCAGCUCCUCUGUACUCAGUCAUGUUUGUGUGUCUGUCAAAGUGAUUGUUGUCUUUAAAAAGCCUUUUGUGUUUGAGUUUUGUGAGCAGUGCUGAGCUUCUCUUUAGUCUAAGGUGAGUCGAUAUAUUUGAUUCCAUGUUUGGUGUGAUUUUCAAAGUCAGCAGCAGCAAACGCUGAACAAGCAAAGUUUGGGCCCAUCAGAGACAGCAGUGGAUCUGCUGACCUGUAGGUGUUGGAGGUGUUUGUGUGCAGCUGUGGGUGAGUCAGCUGUAUUUCACUUAUCCAUGACAGAGCGCUGUUAGCUUUGAGUUAGGAUCCACUGAGCUGUUUCAUCUGCUCUGUCACUGCCAGCAAGCAGAGCCCAGGCUUGGCUUCAUAAGCUGGAUGUGGCCUUGCUCAAGGGCACUUUAGCAGCAUGUUCCCAGCAGAGGGAUUCAAACUGGUGACCCUGGAGUAGGAAUCAUCCAGAAAAGUCACCUUAUGUCAGAAGUUUUAGUGAGACGGGGAACAACAUUACAGCUCUGAUGUCAUUGACCUGUGCAGUGAGGACAUAUUGAACUAUGAGGACACAGCUUAUAGGUUCAACACUGACCCUGGGUCAGCAUGUGCAGGCUGCCACGGUGUUGGUGUCACCACUACAGACAGCUCAGGUUCAACUAGUUCUUCUUUGAUUUGCUUCUAUAGCACAAAGUUUGACACCAGUCUGGUCCAGUUAGCAUCUGAAUCCAUAAACGUGUGACCUCGUCCCACCGGAGGACGUCAGCAUCAUGGGGAUCAUGUCUACAGCAGGAAAACCACAGGGACAGUUGGGUUUGCUGCACAUCUGAAACACACAAUUAGCUCAGAUAUGUUCAUGUCUCUCACACCAACACAAUGACUGAGUGCUCUAUAGCAGCUAAUGCUAACAACUGGAACACUGCUGUUUGUCAUGGUUUUUAGACCAAAUGAUAACAACACGUUGGGAAAAGUGAAAUAUUGGAACAUGAAAUCAUAAAUUAUUACAUUUAAACCAAAGUAAUACAGCUAAAUUUCCCCUGUUGGCUCAUAAGCUGCUCACCUGGAUGCUAAAUCAGUGCAGUCCUCUCUGAACAUUAGAUAACAUAGAUCAACACACACACACUUAUUUUUGAGAGGCUGACUUCACUAAACUCACAGAAACUCUUAAGAAGCUCCUCAGAUGAUGACUUUGGAGUUUUACUGUCAGUGUAUAAAAUCUAGAAAAGGAAGAAAAGCAGGAGAAAUGAUCAAAGUGCUGCUGUGUGCAGGAAAAACUACAACAUGUUAGUGAGAAACACAAACAGGGUGUGAAACACACUCCAGAGGAAACGCUGUGUGCAGCUGGAUCUGUCUGUGACUUCCUGUAUCUCUGUCACAGACUGGGACAGACACCAGUGAAACCAGUCACUGUGUUCAUGUGCUUGUAACCAGCAGCCUGUAAUGUGAGGCUGCUUGAGUCGUUCGUCUGCUUCGACCAUGUAAACCUUGUUGUCUCCUACAUGUACAGAUGUUUCCUACAGACUGUGCUGCUCCAGCUGUCACACAGAUGUUGAAUCAGCAACAUCUGCUGUCACGUCCUCCCACAGAUAACAGGCUGCAUACAAGAGGCUCACCUCUCCUACCAUGGUGUUCUUCUGGUGUUUCCUCCUUUCACUGAGUGUGAAACACUGACGCUGUGCUGUUGUUGAC